rnacentral:rRNA from 1 species
GACGAACCGAGCGAACGUUGUUCGGAAUCACUGGGCUUAAAGGGCGCGUAGGCGGGCAAGCAAGUCCGGGGUGAAAGCUUUCGGCUCAACCUGAAAAGGGCCUUGGAUACUGCUUGUCUGGAGGGAGGUAGGGGCCCGUGGAACUUCCGGUGGAGCGGUGAAAUGCGUUGAUAUCGGAAGGAACGCCGGUGGCGAAAGCGACGGGCUGGAUCUCUACUGACGCUGAGGCGCGAAAGCCAGGGGAGCAAACGGG